rnacentral:sRNA from 1 species
CAUAGACCUACAUAUGUUUAACGAUAUAUGUUCAUACUUAAAUUAAGCGCAUAACGGGUCAAAACAAAUAAAAAAAAGAAUACUUUAAACUUUUAACAAAAAAUGAAUGAUAAGUAUACUCAAGUUCGACAUAAUCAUUGAGCAAGGCACAAAAUAUGCAAAAAAAAUAGAAAACGUAUCUAAAGAAUGUACUUUGUGUAUACAGUCGCGUAUAAAAUAACUCAUUAAUAAAAAUUACUAAAAUUACUCACGCGACUUAAUAGUAAUAAACAUCAAAAGAAAUUUUUAACAAAUACUAUAUUUAAGUUAAUAAAUUAUGUAUUGAACAAAUUGAUGCAAAUUUGCAAACACAAAAGUAUAUAUAAAAAUUUAUUUGCAUUUUUUAUUUAUAUUUAUGAACACACAUGUGCAAACAUACAUGUUUAUUUUUUGAACAGGAAGCAUAUGUAUGUAUCUUUUUUUCUAUUUAAAAAUGCCAGUUUGUCGAUUGUUAAAAAAUACAUAUAAUAUUUUGCCAGUUUAAUAGAACAUCUUGGAAUAUUCCAUACGUAAAUUUAGACGAAAUAACGCUGAGCUCGGGCAGAUAUGCACCUCGCAAUUUAAUGACACUUUUAAUGGCUAUAAAUACCUUAGGCGGAAAAAGAAGUAAAAGGAAAGAUAAUAGUGAUUGAAAACUUAAAUUAACUGUGACUGCAGCUUGAUCUGCAUUGGAUAAAAACGGUAGGAACGUAAUGCCAGAUAACGCAUAUUUUAAUAUCUUUAUUAAAAUAAUAUCCACGCAUAAUCUUGUUGCAAAUUAUAUGAGGAAUUGGUUUGUUGUAAAGAUUCCAAGAGGUGGGCGAUGUUAUGUUAUAAGCUUAAAAUUUCGACCAUAUAAAUAUAUAUUAAAUUUUUUGAACCAUUUUCUCUUCGACAAUGGACACCACCGGAGUGGCCUAAUCCGCAAACUCUACAAUCUCGAGUAUUCCUUGAACACAAAGACGGUCACAUUUUUAUUCAUAUGGCUUGACAUUUGGAAUACGAUGCAAUGACGAACUUACCGGCAGAAACUCGGAGUCAAUUUUAAGGGUGGUCUAGUGUAUCGAUCAAAUUCUUAAAGUUUUCUGUAAUGCUGCUACCUCACUUUACUUGCCGUAUAUUGACUUGCACCAUUUGCAACCUCAUCAAGGUGGUCAUUUAGUUACCUACGAACUCGUCGGGGUGCUUAUCUUGUUGGCAAAAAUGGUAAAAUGUCACAAUCUCCGAUUAUCGGGGUGGUAUAAAUAUUGGAAAAGUCGUUGUCAUAAGUGUGUAGUAACUGAGAAGGAUUAAUUUAAGAAAAAAGAUUGCUUCGA